CCCUUAGAUGUUCUGGGCCGCACACGCGCUACACUGAAGGAGGCAGCGUGUACUCCUGGAUCGAAAGAUUUGGGUAACCCGCGAAUCUCCUUCGUGCUAGGGAUUGAGGUUUGCAAUUAUCCUUCAUGAACGAGGAAUUCCCAGUAAGUGCAAGUCAUAAGCUUGCGCUGACUACGUCCCUGCCCUUUGUACACACCUCCCGUCGCUACUACCGAUUGAAUGAUUUAGUGAGGACUUCGGACUGGGACCGAUGCGGCUUUCGGGCUGCGUCGGUAUUCUGGAAAGAUGUCCAAACUGUAUCAUUUAGAGGAAGUAAAAGUCGUAACA
rnacentral:rRNA from 1 species